rnacentral:rRNA from 1 species
AUUGAACGCUGGCGGCAGGCCUAACACAUGCAAGUCGAGCGAGCGGCGGACGGGUGAGGACUGUAUAGGGGUCUGCUCGACAGAGGUGGAUACAUACUGGGAACGGUGGUAAAUACCGCAUACAGUCGCAUGAACCUAUAUGGAAUUAGCUAGUGGGUUAGGUAAUGGCUUACAUGGGCGACUAUCCCUAGCUGGUCUGAGAGGAUGAUCAGCAACACUGGAACUGAGACACGGCCCAUACUCCUACGGGAGGCAGCAGUGGGGAAUAUUGCACAAUGGGCGCAAGCCUGAUGCAGCCAUGCCGCGUGUGUGAAGAAGGCCCUAGGGUGGUAAAGUACUUUCAGUCGGGAGGCGUUACCGACAGAAGAAGCACCGGCUAACUCCGUGCCAGCAGCCGCGGUAAUUC